AGCUUUGGCAGGCUGUGGAGGAGAGUUGGACCUGGGAGAGCAGAGAGGAGAUUUACACAGGUCCACGUGGAGGCUGGUGCAGUCUGGCUUCGGUUAGGACCCAAGGGCAGGGAUGGGGAGGUGGUGCUGCCCUGUCAGAGUGCCCUUUGGCCUGUCGUCCCGGGCUUGGCUGCCACAUAGGAGUGCUUCGGUUUCUGGUACUCUUGCCAAAGGCUGGCAGGACUGAACAGUCUCUCAGUCUUCAUGCUUUUCCCCUGAAAGAACCGGCUGCCUAGCCCCGGCCUUUAGCCUUCUCUCGUCACACUCAGUAUCCUUGUUGCUUCUGCUUCCCUAGAGACGGGGCUUUGGGAGAGUAGGUAGCUGGAAACUAAAGAUCAUCCCCCAAAUGAAGGGCCUGUAGCCAAGAUAGGAGUAGUUUGGGGUUGGGAAAGGGAAAGGAAGAAAGAUUUAAACAAGCAUUUAUUGAAUACUUAUGGUGCACAAGCCAGGGCACCAGGCAUUGGGGAAAUGCAUAUUAUCCAAGAUGCUGCUCCAAGGGAAUUCACAUGCUGACAAUAAUGUAGAACAUUUGAAUGAGCAGUACCUCUGGGGUAAGAAGCAGCUGGAUAUGUGAGGUGUGUAGUUGAGGACAGGGUUCAGGGCUGGAGAAGAUUUGGGAGGGGGCAGGUCACCCAGGGAGGAUGACUGGAGUGGAAAGAGACGUGGGCUUAAGUGGAACCACAUCACACCACAUUUUAGGGGCAAGAGGAGCCCCUUUAAGGAGCGUGAAGAGGACUUGGAGAAGGCCAUGUCCCAGAAAAGAACUUCAAACAGGAGGCAGAAAACAUAGAAAACAUCGUGCUGUUGAGAAAUGUCCAUUGGAUCUGGGGAAGAGUAAGACCUCGUGAAGGAAGGAGAGAAGAUGGUGCGGUGAGGUGCCGGCCCUGCUCCGCCGCCACUCACACCUCAGCACAGGGACUGUGGCAACCCAGGCGCCUGCCCUACUUGGUUCCUGAAUGAAAUUCUUAAGUUUGCAGGAUGGCAGAUAAGAAAAGAAACCUCUUGCUGAAAUGCUGAAACUUCCUCUGCUUAUGAGAUUAAAAAAACUGGCUGAAAUCAGUUGGAAUCCAUAUGGCCAGCUGGAGUCUAUGCAGAAUGAGCCCGCUGACCUCACAGCCUUUCCACUGCACCUUUCACACUAGCGCCCCCCAAAUUUGCACCUAUGACCCAUGAAGAGGCAUGAAGAUACCACUGUGGAGGCCCGAGGACUUUCCAGACCUUUCCUUCCCUUCCACUAAUCACCUAUUCAUCUCAGAAUCCACCCGCUAAACAUUUUUUUUUUUUUUUUGAGACGGGAGUCUCGCUCUGUCGCCCAGGCUGGAGUGCAGUGGUGCGAUCUCCGCUCACUGCAAGCUCCGCCUGCCGGGUUCACGCCAUUCUCCUGCGUCAGCCUCCCGAGUAGCUGGGAAUACAGGCGUCUGCCACCACUAAUUUUUUUGUAUUUUUUAGUAGAGAUGGGGUUUCACCGUGUUAGCCAGGAUGGUCUCGAUCUCAUGACCUCGUGAUCCGCCCGCCUUGGCCUCGGAAAGUGCUGGGAUUACAGGCGUGAGCCACCGCGCCCGGCUUAAACAUUUUCUAAUGAAGACACUGCCUUAAAGCUGGCACAGAAAGAUUUGAGCUGGACUUCUGUCUCCUUGUUGGUCGAACUGCGAUAACAAGCUUUCGUUUUCUCAAAAACCUGGUGCCAUAGUAUCGGCUUCUAGUGCAUGGGGCAGCGAGCCCUUUCACUCGGUAACACUGCGUCAGGAACUGGCAUGCAUUUUGGUGGUCUCACAACCCCAGCUCUGCCCCCCAGCACAUCUCGUUGAGAGGUGACAGCGUGCCGGCAGCUCUCGGCGCCUCCUCGGCCUUGGCGCCCACUCUGGCCUUGCUUGAGAAGCCCUUCAGCCCGCCGCUGCACUGCGGGAGCCCCUUUCUGCGCUGGCCAAGGCCGGAGCCGGCACCCUCAGCUUGCGGGGAGGUGUGGAGGGAGAGGCGCGAGCGGGAACAGGGGCUGCGCGCGGUGCUUGCUGGCCAGCGUGAGUUCCGGGUG
rnacentral:lncRNA from 1 species